AGAGUGUCUCAGACACAACAGCAGGACAACGCACCCAGGAACUUACGGCGGCUGUGGUUGCCUCCCCUUCUAGAGAUCAAGCCAACAUGGUCACGUGUUCAGUACGGAGGGGGCGGGCUUCAUGAGCCUCUCACCCUGAACUGAGGAGCUGAGACAGCUGACUGGUGGAGAGUCGGUUUUUCUGUGUGCCAGCGGAUGGUCCCACACGCCGAGCUGAGAUCACUGAAGUCAAAGUCCCUGAGUCAGAAACAAAGGUGUCUUGGAGCUGGCCGGGCUACACUGCUACCCUACCUGCCAACAGAGUGGGCAGCCGGAAGAGGCCCCGGCUGGGCUGCUGCAGCAUCCGUGGCAAGCUGCUUCCAGCCUGGGGCCGCAACAUUCCUAUCUAGAAGCUUCUCUCAGCUUUUUAUCGUACCUCAAGAGCCGCCUUCCUAAGAGCGGGACCAAGAGGGAGAAGCAGCCCAGAUCCAAACGGCUCAUGUUCCUCACCAUAGGUCCUUCCUGCUCAGCCAUCCGACUCCACCCCUGCCCCUCUCACCCCCCACCCCUGCUGUAGCCAGACUAGAGUGGGAACUGAAGGGGAGAUGGGGUUGGAGGUGCAGCCCAAGAGGCUUUCCACUUCCCACAGGGAGCCCGCUUACUCAGUAGGCACCCCAUAAAUAUUUGCUGGACAAUGGAUCCGAGAAUGCAACACACAGCCAGUCCGAACCAGCGCCUCCCAAAAGAACUCUGCAAGGGUGCAGAUGUGUUCCACCUGCCUUGCUUGGCGCAGGAGCCACGGGCGGCCAGGAAUCCAUCCUUGAGUAUAGCACUCCCAAGGCUUCCCACUGCGCCAACUGACAUUGUAACAGGAGGCACGGUGCCACUCACCUGUAGUCCCAGCACUCAGGAGGCGGAGGCGGGAGGAUCUCGGGUUUGAAGGCGACCUGUACUACACAGCAAGGUCCUGCCCCAGACAAACCAAACAACCAAGUGAGCAUUUGAGAAACCUAAGUCCACUGGGGGCUGGAGAGACCCGGGUUUGUUUCCCAGCCCCCACAUUGUUACUCAGAGGCAUCAAUCACUCCAGUUUCAGGUGACCGACGCCCUCUCUGACCUCCAAGGACACUGCAUGUACACAUACAUACAGCAGAGCUCAUAUACACACAACAAUGUUUCUUUAAAACACUCACAGGCUGAACAGACGAGACGGCUCAUCAGUUAACAGCAUGUACUACUUGCCGGACAUGGUGGCACGCACCUUUAAUCCCAGCACUUGGGAGGCACAGGCAGGCAGAUCUAUGAGUCUGAGGCCAGUCUACAGAAUGAGUUCUAGGACAGCCACAGCUCUGAUACACAGAGAAACCCUGUCUCAGAAAACAAAAAAAGCACCCACUGCAGAUUUGGAUCCUGGCACACACCUCGGGUGACCCACGACCACCUGUAACUCCAGCUCAAGGGGAUCUCACCUCCACAGGCACCUGCCCUCACAUACUACCCCCCCACAUAAUUAAACAUUUAUCUAGAUAGUCCUACAUCCUAGUGGGCAGCAACUACCCAAACCCUCUCUUCUGCUCCUCCCAGAGUCUUGUGCCCCAGGAGACAAACAGUUACUUCUUGGCCAAAAUAAAGAAGCAUUUCCGUGUUAA